UGCUGGCUAUUGGUAUCCAGGCUGUGAGACACAGCAACAGAGACUUUAAAGCACCCAGGGUUACAGGGCAGUUGGUGACACAACCUAUCACUGUUUUGGAUUGCGCCCCCAAAAGUGACGCUAUCUUGAACAGCCUUUUACUAUCUAUUAAUCUUAUCAACUCCAUCUCACUUCAAGUCUCAGGUUGUUUCCUUGGAAAUUUGUCCAAUGCAGUUCAAAAUAUUGCCAGGACUAUUUAGGACAGUAUCUGCUGUUUGAGCUCCAAGAGGGACUGAAGUUUUUAACCAGUUACUGAUCCAUCCCUCUUAUCAAAAGAAUCAAGAACAGACCAAAUCUGCGAUCAGCAAGGAGAAGACUGAGGAGAGAAUCUCAAGUGUCUCCAACAGUCUCAAGACUGUCUCAAGUGUCUCCUUUGGUGAAGGAGUGAUCAGUGAGAGAGGCGGAGAACUAGGACAGCAUGGAAUCCAAAAAGGGGGGAAAUCAGGAAAAGUGGAAGUGAUAAAAAAUGUGAAAGAGUCGUAAAUGUGAAAGAGAAGAAUAGAGAAGUGACUCUUAGAUUACAGCAGGAAGUUAGUGACCUUACAAUAGUAGUUUUGAUGGAUGAAGGAGAGGAAGCCAAACUAGAGUGUCGCAGUAGAGAGCGCAAGGACUUUGGACACAAAAUGAAGAAUCCUGGAGAGACAAGUGUGAAAAACCCAAACCUGUUGCAUACAGCUUCCCACAAAGUGACUUGAUGCCGUGCAAUCUUUGUGGAAGGGACUAAAGACUCCAAGUCUAUCCAAGUUCUGCUGAUUGGUCAUGACAUUUUCCUGCCUGUUAAUCACUGAGCCCCAGGGAAUCUGGGUAUUGUAAUUCCUGGUCUCUACAUCAGAGAAGAAACACAGAAAGAAAAUAUUGUUUUGGAGGUAUUCGAAAAUGUGGGCCUGAAGCUAAACCACAUUCUCUGAAAAGAAAGGAAUUCGCCAGUGAGAACCCCCCGACAUUCUCACAGGACUGCAAGUAAAGAAUGCACAACCAUCGUUUCAUUCCUCCUUUAGGACCAAAUCCAAAGGUCUAUACUAAGUGCCCAAGGAAUUAAACUUUACCUGAGUAAGACCAGAAUAGAGAUAGAAGAGGAACCUCAGGGUUUGGCCCAGACAAUUAAACCAGCAGUGUUUUAGAGAGAGGACCUACAGAAUGACUAGGUCAAUAAAAAUAAUACUUAUGAGUGUUCUGAAAUGCACUGGCAAGAGGAAGGCAAGCUGAACCAAACCU